CCUACGCCUCUCCUACCCCAUCUCUCCUUUCUCUCUUCCUCUUUCUCUGCAAGAAUCAAACCACCACCACCACUUUAUUUUCUCCACCCUCACCACCAUUCACCACCGUCUUCACAUUUCACCACCACCUUCAGAACCCCUUCUCUAUCUCUAUAAACCAUGGAUUGUUAUUCAAAAAAUCAAAAUGGACACGUGAUAAUGUGAAGCGGUGGAAGGCAGCCCUAAAAGAGGUUGCUAAUUUGAAGAGGAGUGUUGUGUCAGGGUAUGAAACCACCUUUAUUCCAAAUAUUGUUGAAAAAAUUCACUCUCAACUAGGUUUGAAACUCCGACUGGUUUAACUGGAAUAGAGACUCGAGCUGAACGUAUUAAUUCCUGGUUGAAUGAUGAGGGACCUGGUUCUCCUGUUCUAGCUAUCUGUGGUAUGGGAGGAAGUGGCAAGACAACACUUGCCAAACACAUAUUUUACUCAAAUAAGCAUAAGUUUGACAGUAACAGUUUUCUUGAAAACAUUGAAAAUCAAUCUGAUGGCUUGCUUGGUGUGCAGAAACAACUUCUCAAGGAUAUUUCAGGAAAUAAUAAUAUGAUGAUGUCAGAUGUUUUGAGGGAGCUCUUCAGCUUGAGAAGGCCACACGAAUGAAUAAGGUGCUUAUUGUUGUUGAUGACAUUGAUGACAAAGACACACUAAGCACUUUAUUUGGAACAAAGGUGUUUCCCACCCUAAGUAAGAUCAUUAUAACAAGAAGACUUCUAAAAAUAGAUACAUGGUAUGGGUCCAUAUCUCGUGGGUGAAAUGUGGAGAUGGUGGUGAAGGGUGGUGAAGGUGGGGAAGAUGAAGUGGUGGUUGUGGUUUGAUUCUUGCAUACUAAAAGGAGAAAGAGGAAGAGAGAAAGGGGAGAAGGGUAGGGGUAGGAUAAAUUGAUUUAAAUAUAUUUUUUUAUCUUUAAGAUAUUUUUUAAUAACAAGGGUAUUUUAGUAAUUUCACAUCCACUUAACUGAAAAAACUAACCUCCAUCUGCGCCUGGGACUAUCCGGGAACGAAAAUUGAAAAGUUGGGGCCUGUAGAGUUAAUUUUAGAAAGUUAGGGACUAAAGAUGAAAAAAGAUCAAACCACAGGGACUAUCCGAGCAUUUUACUCAUAAUUAAAGUUAAAACCUAAGAGAACCAUUUUUCCUGACUGAUGGAAUAAGGUUAACGAUCAACUUAUUGUACCCGAAGUUCCUCCAUGAAAGCUACGCUAACAACCAUUCAAAAAAACUACUGAAAUAAGAACUAUGGGUUAAAGUCUUGGAAGAUAGAGUACAAGUGCUGGAUUCAUAAAGUAUUGGUCAACAAGUCAACAACAGAGUCAACAAGUCAAAGCUGAAGACCAAAGAUCAGUCAACUUAAAAGACCAAAAGUAUUGGAUUCCAAAAAUGUUGAAAUCUUUCUAGGAGCUUUGGAAUCAACUGUUUUCCUUGUACAGUAUUUCAAUAUAACAGUAGUUUUUACAAUUGUCUGGUUAUUUUGCAAACUGAAGGAAGUUACAUCAUUUAAUAGGUUGUUUAAGGUCACUUUGAUGGUGACGUCACCGAGUAGUCUCCUCUUAUAAAUAGAACUGUACACUAAUGUAAUAGUUAACUUUUACAACUGAAUAUCCUUUGUUUUAGAUAGAGAAAAACUUAAGAAGUAAGAGACAUAGUGCACCUGGUGAGGGGAGUUAUUGUACUUAAAUCAUUGAAUAUAUUGAAUCUUUUGAUAAUCAUUUUCCGAA